rnacentral:rRNA from 1 species
GAUGAACGCUGGCGGCGUGCCUAAUACAUGCAAGUCGAGCGAACGGACGAGAAGCUUGCUUCUCUGAUGUUAGCGGCGGACGGGUGAGUAACACGUUGAUAACCUACCUAUAAGACUGGGAUAACUUCGGGAAACCGGAGCUAAUACCGGAUAAUAUUUUGAACCGCAUGGUUCAUAAGUGAAAGACGGUCUUGCUGUCACUUAUAGAUGGAUCCGCGCUGCAUUAGCUAGUUGGUAAGGUAACGGCUUACCAAGGCAACGAUGCAUAGCCGACCUGAGAGGGUGGUCGGCCACACUGGAACUGAGACACCGUCCAGACUCCUACGGGAGGCAGCAGUAGGGAAUCUUCCGCAAUGGGCGAAAGCCUGACGGAGCAACGCCGCGUGAGUGAUGAAGGUCUUCGGAUCGUAAAACUCUGUUAUUAGGGAAGAACAUAUGUGUAAGUAACUGUGCACAUCUUGACGGUACCUAAUCAGAAAGCCACGGCUAACUACGUG